GAUGAACGCUAGCGGCAGGCCUAAUACAUGCAAGUCGAACGGUGUCUUCGGACAUAGUGGCGCACGGGUGCGUAACACGUAUGCAACCUACCUUACAUUGGGGGAUAGCCUUUCGAAAGGGAGAUUAAUACCGCAUAAGACAGUAGCUGGGCAUCCAGCAGCUGUUAAAGAUUUAUCGAUGUAAGCUGGGCAUGCGUCCAAUUAGCUAGUUGGUGAGGUAACGGCUCACCAAGGCAAUGAUUGGUAGGGGAACUGAGAGGUCAAUCCCCCACACUGGCACUGAGAUACGGGCCAGACUCCUACGGGAGGCAGCAGUAGGGAAUAUUGGGCAAUGGACGCAGGUCUGACCCAGCCAUGCCGCGUGCAGGAUGAAGGCGUUAUGCGUCGUAAACUGCUUUUAUACAGGAAGAAACGACUCUUGCGAGAGGCAUUGACGGUACUGUAUGAAUAAGCACCGGCUAACUCCGUGCCAGCCGCCGCCGUAAAAC
rnacentral:rRNA from 1 species